CNCCAGUGGCGAAAGCGGCUCUCUGGUCUGUCACUGACGCUGAGGCUCGAAAGCGUGGGUAGCGAACAGGAUUAGAUACCCUGGUAGUNCACGCCGUAAACGAUGAGUGCUAGGUGUUAGGCCCUUUCCGGGGCUUAGUGCCGGAGCUAACGCAAUAAGCACUCCGCCUGGGGAGUACGACCGCAAGGUUGAAACUCAAAGGAAUUGACGGGGGCCCGCACAAGCGGUGGAGCAUGUGGUUUAAUUCGAAGCAACGCGAAGAACCUUACCAGGUCUUGACAUCCCGAUGCUAUUCUUAGAGAUAGGAAGUUACUUCGGUACAUCGGAGACAGGUGGUGCAUGGUUGUCGUCAGCUCGUGUCGUGAGAUGUUGGGUUAAGUCCCGCAACGAGCGCAACCCUUAUUGUUAGUUGCCAUCAUUAAGUUGGGCACUCUAGCGAGACUGCCGGUAAUAAACCGGAGGAAGGUGGGGAUGACGUCAAAUCAUCAUGCCCCUUAUGACCUGGGCUACACACGUGCUACAAUGGUCGGUACAACGAGUUGCGAGCCGGUGACGGCAAGCUAAUCUCUGAAAGCCGAUCUCAGUUCGGAUUGGAGGCUGCAACUCGCCUCCAUGAAGUCGGAAUCGCUAGUAAUCGCGGAUCAGCACGCCGCGGUGAAUACGUUCCCGGGCCUUGUACACACCGCCCGUCACACCACGAGAGUUUGUAACACCCGAAGUCGGUGAGGUANCCUUUUAGGG
rnacentral:rRNA from 1 species